AUUGAACGCUGGCGGCGUGCUAAACACAUGCAAGUCGAACGGUAAGGCCCUUCGGGGUACACGAGUGGCGAACGGGUGAGUAACACGUGGGUGAUCUGCCCUGCACUUCGGGAUAAGCCUGGGAAACUGGGUCUAAUACCGGAUAGGACCACUGCCUGCAUGGGUGGUGGUGGAAAGCUUUUGCGGUGUGGGAUGGGCCCGCGGCCUAUCAGCUUGUUGGUGGGGUGAUGGCCUACCAAGGCGACGACGGGUAGCCGGCCUGAGAGGGUGACCGGCCACACUGGGACUGAGAUACGGCCCAGACUCCUACGGGAGGCAGCAGUGGGGAAUAUUGCACAAUGGGCGCAAGCCUGAUGCAGCGACGCCGCGUGAGGGAUGACGGCCUUCGGGUUGUAAACCUCUUUCAGCACCGACGAAGCGCAAGUGACGGUAGGUGCAGAAGAAGGACCGGCCAACUACGUGCCAGCAGCCGCCGUAA
rnacentral:rRNA from 1 species